CUUUACUAUAGCCUGCUAUUGAAACUACGCUUAUGCUGCUUAGCAUAGGUGGGAGCCUUUGAAACUUGGAUUCCGGUCCGAGUGGAGGCGCAAUGUGAAAUACCACCCUGCAGUGGUGUGGUUUCUAACCUCGAUUUAACCUGUCGAGGGACAGUGGCUGGUGGGUAGUUUAACUGGGGCGGUUGCCUCCUAAAUGGUAACGGAGGCGUUUAUUAAGGUAGGCUAGACGCGGAUGGACAUCGCGUCGGUAGUGCAAACGCAUAAGCCUGCUUGACUGCAAGGACUGCAAUCCGCGCAGAGACGAAAGUCGAAGUUAGUGAUCCGAUGCGUUCGAGUGGAAGACGCAAAGCCCAACGGAUAAAAGUUA
rnacentral:rRNA from 1 species